rnacentral:ncRNA from 2 species
GGUUGGGCGUGAGCUUUCAAGGUAAAUAUCUUCUGGGGUGAGAAGAU